AGAGUUUGAUCCUGGCUCAGGACGAACGCUGGCGGCGUGCUUAACACAUGCAAGUCGAACGGAAAGGCCCGCUUGCGGGUACUCGAGUGGCGAACGGGUGAGUAACACGUGGGCAACCUGCCCUCAGCUCUGGGAUAACUCCGGGAAACCGGUGCUAAUACUGGAUAUCAACUUUGCCUCGCAUGGGGUGUUGUUGAAAGUUUUUCGGCUGGGGAUGGGCCCGCGGCCUAUCAGCUUGUUGGUGGGGUGAUGGCCUACCAAGGCGACGACGGGUAGCCGGCCUGAGAGGGCGACCGGCCACACUGGGACUGAGACACGGCCCAGACUUCUACGGAAGGCAGCAGUGGGGAAUAUUGCGCAAUGGGCGGAAGCCUGACGCAGCGACGCCGCGUGAGGGAUGACGGCCUUCGGGUUGUAAACCUCUUUCAGCUCUGACGAAGCGUGAGUGACGGUAGGAGCAGAAGAAGCACCGGCCAACUACGUGCCAGCAGCCGCGGUACUACGUGCCAGCAGCCGCGGUAGUC
rnacentral:rRNA from 1 species